UACGAACCGUACGAACGUUAUUCGGAUUCACUGGGCUUAAAGCGUGCGUAGGCGGCUGGGUAAGUUGGAUGUGAAAGCCCUCGGCUCAACCGAGGAAUUGCGUUCAAAACUACCUGGCUUGAGGGAGAUAGAGGUGAGCGGAACUGAUGGUGGAGCGGUGAAAUGCGUUGAUAUCAUCAGGAACACCUGUGGCGAAAGCAGCUCACUGGGUCUUUACUGACGCUGAGGCACGAAAGCUAGGGGAGCGAACGGGAUUAGAUACCCCGGUAGUCCUAGCUGUAAACGAUGAGCACUGGGUUGAGGGGACUUCCACAUCCUCUCGGCCGUAGCGAAAGUGUUAAGUGCUCCGCCUGGGGAGUAUGGUCGCAAGGCUGAA
rnacentral:rRNA from 1 species